GGAAAAGAAACUAACAAGGAUUCCCCUAGUAACUGCGAGUGAAGCGGGAAAAGCUCAAAUUUAAAAUCUGGUGGCCUUUGGCCAUCCGAGUUGUAAUUUAGAGAAGCGUCUUCCGCGCUGGACCGUGCACAAGUCUCCUGGAAUGGAGCGUCAUAGAGGGUGAGAAUCCCGUCUUUGGCACGGACUCCCGGUGCUUUGCGAUGCGCUCUCGACGAGUCGAGUUGUUUGGGAAUGCAGCUCAAAAUGGGUGGUGAACUCCAUCUAAAGCUAAAUAUUGGCGAGAGACCGAUAGCGAACAAGUACCGUGAGGGAAAGAUGAAAAGCACUUUGGAAAGAGAGUGAAACAGUACGUGAAAUUGUUGAAAGGGAAACGCUUGAAGUCAGUCGCGUUGACCGAGACUCAGCCUUGUCUUGGCUUGGUGUGCUUCUCGGCUCGACGGGUCAGCAUCAAUUUUGAUCUUUAGAUAAUGGCAAGGGAAAGGUGGCACCUUUUUAGGUGUGUUAUAGUCCCGUGUCGGAUGCAAGGGUCAGGAUUGAGGAACUCAGCAUGCACCUUUGGGUGUCGGGGUCUUUGCCCACGUUAUGUGCUUAGGAUGCUGGCGUAAUGGCUUUAAACGACCCGUCUUGAAACACGGACCAAGGAGUCUAACAUGCACGCGAGUGUUCGGGUGGAAAACCCGUGCGCGUAAUGAAAGUAAAAGUUGGGACCUCUGUCGUGGAGGGCACCGACGCCCGGACCAGACCUUCUGUGACGGAUCUGCGGUAGAGCGUGUAUGUUGGGACCCGAAAGAUGGUGAACUAUUCCUGAAUAGGGUGAAGCCAGAGGAAACUCUGGUGGAGGCUCGUAGCGAUUCUGACGUGCAAAUCGAUCGUCAAAUUUGGGUAUAGGGGCGAAAGACUAAU
rnacentral:rRNA from 1 species